rnacentral:lncRNA from 1 species
UUAAUUGCAUUUGAUCCGUUUGAGCGAGAGCUUUUGCGGAUUUCUGUGGGAGGGAACAAUGAUCCAGCAGGAUCAAUGCAGAAAAAAUAUAUAUUUCCUAGAUAUGUAUUUUUUUGGUUACACCUAGAUAUGUAUUUAGUAACACUUGAUCUAUUGUUUCAGGAAACGCACCCUGUGAAUUUUUUUUAUAGAAUUUCUAAGGUAUUGUUGAACAAUAAACAGUUUUGGCCUUUGGGACAACUGUUCUUGGGAUCAAUAGUUAAAUUAG